rnacentral:rRNA from 1 species
GUCCACGCCGUAAACGAUGUCUACUGGCCGUUGGCCUCCUUGAGGGGUUAGUGGCGCAGCUAACGCGAUAAGUAGACCGCCUGGGGAGUACGGCCGCAAGGUUAAAACUCAAAUGAAUUUACGGGGGCCCGCACAAGCGGUGGAGCAUGUGGUUUAAUUCGACGCAACGCGAAGAACCUUACCUACUCUUGACAUCCUGCGAAGCCUGUAGAGAUAUGGGGUGUGCCUUCGGGAGCGCAGAGACAGGUGCUGCAUGGCUGUCGU